UAGGGAAUAUUCCACAAUGAGCGAAAGCUUGAUGGAGCGACACAGCGUGCACGAUGAAGGUCUUCGGAUUGUAAAGUGCUGUUAUAAGGGAAGAACAUUUGCAAUAGGAAAUGAUUGCAGACUGACGGUACCUUGUCAGAAAGCGAUGGCUAACUAUGUGCCAGCAGCCGCGGUAAUACAUAGGUCGCAAGCGUUAUCCGGAAUUAUUGGGCGUAAAGCGUUCGUAGGCUGUUUGUUAAGUCUGGAGUUAAAUCCCGGGGCUCAACCCCGGGUCGCUUUGGAUACUAGCAAACUAGAGUUAGAUAGAGGUAAGCGGAAUUCCAUGUGAAGCGAUGAAAUGCGUAGAUAUAUGGAAGAACACCAAAGGCGAAGGCAGCUUACUGGGUCUAUACUGACGCUGAGGGACGAAAGCGUGGGGAGCAAACAGG
rnacentral:rRNA from 1 species